GGCAACGGGGUGGAGCCCAGGAGAUGAGUCUGCUUAUUCUCAUCUAAACCCUGAACCCUCCCUGAAAAGUGGGAAUUUAUAUAAUUGGGGGUGUUUGGCCGGCGUUUCCCCCGAAAAAUAAUUAAAAAACGUCGAUGGUUACAUAAGAGACUUGUCUCCAAAGUAGACCGGGCUGGGUUGGUUCGUUAGGUGGUUCUGUUGAGAACUAGAUUAGUGCUUCUGCAGUUAACCGAUUCCUCACCUUCCCUUCCACCCCCAAAUUUUU
rnacentral:telomerase_RNA from 1 species